rnacentral:rRNA from 1 species
AGAGUUUGAUCCUGGCUCAGACGAACGCUGGCGGCAUGCCUAAUACAUGCAAGUCGAGCGGAGUCAUUUUGAAAGCUUGCUUUCAAAAUGACCUAGCGGCGGACGGGUGAGUAACACGUAGGCAACCUGCCCUCAAGACUGGGAUAACUACCGGAAACGGUAGCUAAUACCGGAUAAUUUCUUUUUUCUCCUGAGAGAAGAAUGAAAGGCGGAGCAAUCUGCUACUUGGGGAUGGGCCUGCGGCGCAUUAGCUAGUUGGUGAGGUAACGGCUCACCAAGGCGACGAUGCGUAGCCGACCUGAGAGGGUGAACGGCCACACUGGGACUGAGACACGGCCCAGACUCCUACGGGAGGCAGCAGUAGGGAAUCUUCCGCAAUGGGCGAAAGCCUGACGGAGCAAUGCCGCGUGAGUGAUGAAGGUUUUCGGAUCGUAAAGCUCUGUUGCCAGGGAAGAACGUCCGGUAGAGUAACUGCUACCGGAGUGACGGUACCUGAGAAGAAAGCCCCGGCUAACUACGUGCCAGCAGCCGCGGUAAUACGUAGGGGGCAAGCGUUGUCCGGAAUUAUUGGGCGUAAAGCGCGCGCAGGCGGUCAUUUAAGUCUGGUGUUUAAACCUUGGGCUCAACCUAAGGUCGCACUGGAAACUGGGUGACUUGAGUACAGAAGAGGAAAGUGGAAUUCCACGUGUAGCGGUGAAAUGCGUAGAUAUGUGGAGGAACACCAGUGGCGAAAGCGACUUUCUGGGCUGUAACUGACGCUGAGGCGCGAAAGCGUGGGGAGCAAACAGGAUUAGAUACCCUGGUAGUCCACGCCGUAAACGAUGAGUGCUAGUGUUAGGGGUUUCGAUACCCUUGGUGCCGAAGUUAACACAGUA